GAUGAACGCUGGCGGCGUGCCUAAUACAUGCAAGUCGAGCGAAUGGAUUAAGAGCUUGCUCUUAUGAAGUUAGCGGCGGACGGGUGAGUAACACGUGGGUAACCUGCCCAUAAGACUGGGAUAACUCCGGGAAACCGGGGCUAGUACCGGAUAACAUUUUGAACCGUAUGGUUCGAAAUUGAAAGGCGGCUUCGGCUGUCACUUAUGGAUGGACCCGCGUCGCAUUAGCUAGUUGGUGAGGUAACGGCUCACCAAGGCAACGAUGCGUAGCCGACCUGAGAGGGUGAUCGGCCACACUGGGACUGAGACACGGCCCAGACUCCUACGGGAGGCAGCAGUAGGGAAUCUUCCGCAAUGGGCGAAAGUCUGACGGAGCAACGCCGCGUGAGUGAUGAAGGCUUUCGGGUCGUAAAACUCUGUUGUUAGGGAAGAACAAGUGCUAGUUGAAUAAGCUGGCACCUUGACGGUACCUAACCAGAAAGCCACGGCUAACUACGUGCCAGCAGCCGCGGUAA
rnacentral:rRNA from 1 species